UACGAAGGGGGCUAGCGUUGCUCGGAAUCACUGGGCGUAAAGGGUGCGUAGGCGGGCUUCUAAGUCAGAGGUGAAAGCCUGGAGCUCAACUCCAGAACUGCCUUUGAUACUGGAAGUCUUGAGUUCGGGAGAGGUGAGUGGAACUGCGAGUGUAGAGGUGAAAUUCGUAGAUAUUCGCAAGAACACCAGUGGCGAAGGCGGCCAUCUGGGACAACACUGACGCUGAAGCACGAAAGCGUGGGGAGCAAACAGG
rnacentral:rRNA from 1 species